ACAUCACACCAGUAGUAGAUCCUGAUUCUGAUUUGUGGGAUCCACUCAACCAGACAGGCAGGUCUAUGAAACCUUAUAGUUGUUGGCCUUACCUAUCUUCCAACCCUAACAACUUCACACCCAUCAUUUUUUUUUUCUCUUGAUUGUGAUUUCUCUCUCUCUCUCUCUCAAGCUCAAACACUUGUUUUACUAUCGGUAGACUAGCACCUAAAAGUUACAUUUUACAUGCCACAGCAAUCUUGGAGAAACCAAUCUCCCUUUCACAUCAUGGAGCCAAAAACAUAAAAGAAGAGGCAAAAAUCUCCAACCCAAGACACUGCCACAAAAAAACAAGAACAAGCCUAGUCUCUCCAGUUCAGUCAAACUUGGAAUGGCUUCUCUAAAACAAACCUUCUGUACAAAAAUGCUAGAUCAGUCACAUAACCAUAACCCAUCAUUGCAAAUUACACUCCUCACUAAUUUUUAGUGGUAUUAAAAUGAUUUGUGAAUAUAUAUAUAUAUUAUAUUAUGUAAUUAUAGAAGUGUGUAAUUUUCACUCAGUAGUUGCAGUGGUCAGUGGAGAAGUAUCCUUUGACGCUUGGUCUCUGUUGGAGAGACAGAGCCAUCAAAGAGUACCUUCUUCCUAUUGCAACCAUUAAUGUUUAUC
rnacentral:misc_RNA from 1 species